CCUCUUCUCCUCCCCUCCUUUCCUCCUCUCCUCCCCUCCUCUCCUCUAAAUAUAGAGGCCACCUGUGCUGCUGGUUUCUAUCAGUUUCAGUUGGGUCACUGGAAUCAGGUGGGUCACUGGAAUCAGGUGGGUCAUGGGAAUCAGGUGGGUCAUGGCAAAGCACUGGAAUCAGGUGGGUCACUGGUAUCAGGUGGGUCAUGGCAAAGGACUGGAAUCAGGUGGGUUAUGGCAAAGCACUGGAAUCAGGUGGGUCAUGGCAAAGCACUGGAAUCAGGGGGUCAUGGCAAAGCACUGGAAUCAGGUGGGUCACUGGAAUCAGGUGGGUCAUGGCAAAGCACUGGAAUCAGGUGGGUCACUGGUAUCAGGUGGGUCAUGGCAAAGGACUGGAAUCAGGUGGGUUAUGGCAAAGCACUGGAAUCAGGUGAGUCAUGGCAAAGCACUGGAAUCAGGUGGGUCAUGGCAAAGCACUGGAAUCUGGUGGGUCACUGGUAUCAGGUGGGUCAUGGCAAAGCACUGGAAUCAGGUGGGUCACUGGAAUCAGGUGCGUCACUGGAAUCAGGUGCGUCACUGGAAUCAGGUGGGUCACUGGAAUCAGGUGGGUCAUGGCAAAGCGCUGGUAUCAGGUGGGUCACUGGUAUCAGGUGGGUCAUGGCAAAGCACUGGAAUCAGCUGAAAGUUCUUGUUACCAAUCUCAAAUAGAUAUCAACAGAGGAGCCUUAUAAGCAAUCUCAAGUAGGGGAGCCCAGAAAUGGUUUUGGUUUUAACCCAAAAAUAGACUGUAUUUCAUUUCGAAACCCACAGAGAGGCCUUAUGGGUAGGGAUGGCUAGAUAGAAGGGCUAGACAUGCAGGCCUACUUUGUCAUAUCACAGUGCUGUCCGUGACUCAAAGACAAUUAUCUAAACAUAGAACAAAUCAGCCUACACCGAAGCUUCCUCCAGAGAGAUGGCAGUCUGUCAAAUCAACCUAGAUUUAAACCUUCUCCAGAGAGAUGGCACUCUGUCAAAUCAACCUAGACCUAAACCUUCUCCAGAGAGAUGGCACUCUGUCAAAUCAACCUAGACCUAAACCUUCUCCAGACAGAUGGCAGUCUGUCAAAUCAACCUAGACCUAAACCUUCUCCAGACAGAUGGCAGUCUGUCAAAUCAACCUAGACCUAAACCUUCUCCAGAGAGAUGGAAGUCUGUCCCUCCAUAUUAGGCGAUCCGAUCAGCUGGUAUUUAAAACCUGAGGCAGAGAGCCAUGAUGUGGAUACAGAAAUAUGGGCUGUAUAUUACCACGGGAAAAGUGUGUCUGUGUGUGUGUGUUUGGGUUCAUGUGUUUGUUUAUGAGUGUGUUUGUGUGUGUGUGUGUGUGUGUGUGGGGGGGUUCAUGAGUUUUGCGUGUAUGCAUGCAUUUGUGUGAGUGUUUGUGUGUGUGUGUGUGUGUGUGUGUGUGUGUGUGUGUGUGUGUGUGUGUGUGUGUGUGUGUGUGUGUGUGUGUGUGUGUGUGUGUGUGGGUGUGUGUGUGUUUGUGUGUGUAUGUGUGUGUGUGUGUGUGUGUGUGUGUGGGUUCAUGUGUUUUUGUGUGUAUGCAUGUGUUUGUGAGUGCGUGUGUGUCUGUGUUUGUUGGAGUGUAUAGGGGUCUCAGAGAAUUGUUUAUGAGGAGACACCAAAUGGAAGACGCUGAUACAAUCUUCUCCUCUGUUACACCACUUUGGGGUUAAUUGACAAUGAAAUGACAGGAAACAGCAGCAGUAGAGGUCACAGGAAGUGAACGCCAACAGCCUGAAGAUAAUGAAGAUAAAGAUAAAUAAUAUUUAUAUAAUAAUAUAAAGAUACUCCACCGUCGGUGCUCAGCCCAUGAAAUCACUAGAUAAAUUCAAUCUUUUCCUUUUGCAUCAACUCACAGUUGGAACGGGACAGAUAUUAUUCACACUGCAGAGAUAAAUCUUUAUAUUGUAGAUAAUCUUUAAAAAGUACCAUUGUAAAACCAAUUACGAAGUGGAACCAGAACAAUAAACUGAUUGGUUUCAUUUUUUAUUUUGUCUUUUUUUGUCUUUCUCCCUUCUCUAAACUGAAUUAUGUCGGUGAUUUUUACAUCUGAAUUGGAAAACAAAUGUCAGCGAUGUGGCCGAUUUAGGCCACCGCUGCUUGGCUGUACCUGAUGGGAAUGGAAAGUUCCUGUCUCAUAAAUAACGGGUGGCUGCGUUGGGAGAUCAAGACCUGGGUCUCCAUCCAGGGUAUCCUGGGUAAACUAAGGGAUGUCCAACAAUAAUCAGGCCUGAUCAGUUCUUCAAUAUGAUAGUACAAUUCAUAAGUAAAGGGACACAGAUCUGAGUCUCAAUCUAGCUUCUAAAUCUGACAUCACAAUAGCUCCCGUGGCUGAUGAUGGCUGGAUGAUAUGAAUACUUGAUGAGUUGGGAUGAAAUGGAAGAAAAUUGUAUGUUGAAUGGUCACAAUUUGCCACAGUUGUAACUCAAGCAGAAUUUUCUCCCUCCUUCUAAACAUCCACAGUGUCUACUCCUACAGGAUACAGGAGAGGACACACUGUACAGAGAACUUUAAAAAAAAAGUGGAGCCUCGUUUCCCAGACCCUUCCUAGCGUUAAAAAUCGUCGUUAGAACCUGACAAUGUUUUUUAAGUAGCCAAGGUGUUUCCCAGAGCCUUUCGUUAGUCCCCCUUAAAAAAAAAACUUUGCACAUCUACGAGUCAUCCAGAUUGUUCAUAAAGCAGCCAAAGUGCAUCAUGGGGCUUUUUUUUUGACCUUCCACUGUAUUCACAGAAUUUCUCCGCACAUAUAAUUAUCUUAAACAUAGAAUUACAAUAUUUAGUCUGUCUGUCUGGCAGAAUUCAGAUCAAAGUUCACUACAAAUACAAAAGUUGACAGAGUAUAAAAUGAUGCUUCAAAUGUUUCCCAAUGUGUUCCAUGAUGUGUGACAACAUGUGAUCAGUGAUGUCAUCUAUCAGCCAAUCGAAACAUAAUAAGACGACAUAGUGAAUAUUUUUAAUCCGUCGUCACAAUCGUGGAAUAAUCCUAAUUUAAACGUAUACGUUCUCUCUACGUCCUUGUUUGGGAAACACUUUAACAAAAAAAGUUGUCUGGAAAAUACCCACGGAUCUGGUACGAUCAUUAUAAUGAGGACAGAAAUGUAUCAUCCGACACAAAUGCAAGUAGAAUGUUAUUUUGUCAAUACUGGCAGGUGCCUAAUUGGCGGGUGGUCUGGACUCUACAGUGUAAUCAUUUAACCAAUCAAAGUGAAGUUAAAAGUCAGUUUGAGCCUCAGUAGCUGCUUUCAAAAUGUUUCUAUCAUUUUGUUUCAUAGCAGGUAGAGCACACAAAGAACUAGCCACAAAUCCUACAAUAAUAAUGCUAGAACAAUAACAAGAACUAUUAACUAUAUAAUGAUCCUAUAACAUCCUAAAUGAAUAAUCCCAGAAUAAUAAUAAUAAUAAUCCUAUAAUAACCGUGAAUAAUAAUCCUAUAAUAUCAUUGAAUAAUAUAUCUUAUAAUAUAUUAAUCCUAUAAUAAUAAUCCUAGAAUAACUGUGAUUAAU
ensembl:lncRNA